CCACAGUGAGCACAGCACUGUGACAUGGCCUUUAAGGUUCUGAGUCCUCGUAUCAGCUGUGCACUUUCAGCUGUACUGCAGAGGCAGUAUAAAUGCUGACAACAGCAGAAAAGUAUCAUAGAAUCAUAUCAUAGAAUCAUAUCCUGAGUUGGAAGGGACCCACAAGGAUCAUCAAGUUGAGCUCCCAGCUCCAUAUGAUUAAGAUCACGUUUCUGCAAAUGUCAUGGCCCAUCUUUUCCACUUCAUCACCCUCAUCUGACAAGAGAUAAGGAUGCCUCCACCUCAGAGAGCUGUAUGUCAAAAAAAAAAAAAAAAGGUCAUUUUUCCUCUUCAGUCUGGAUCAUAGCACAG
ensembl:lncRNA